rnacentral:misc_RNA from 1 species
CAGAGUUCAUGCCCUCACGGGUAGACCUCCCACCCUUGUGUAUCUAUACCAUGUUGCUUUGGCAGGCUGCUCGCCCCCUCGGGGGAGAGCCUCAGCGCCCCUGGGCCUGAGAGUCGCCUGCCGGAGGAAAAACAAACUCUGAACUGUUAGUGUCGUCUGAGUACUAUAUCUUAAUAGUUA